rnacentral:rRNA from 1 species
UGGGGAAUCUUGCACAAUGGGGGCAACCCUGAUGCAGCGACGCCGCGUGAGCGAUGAAGCCCUUCGGGGCGUAAAGCUCUUUCGACCGGAACGAUAAUGACGGUACCGGGAGAAGAAGCUGCGGCUAACUACGUGCCAGCAGCCGCGGUAAUACGUAGGCAGCAAGCGUUGUUCGGAGUUACUGGGCGUAAAGCGCGUGCAGGCGGUCUCUUAAGUCUGGUGUGAAAGCCCGGGGCUCACCACCGGAAGGGCACUGGAGACUGGGAGGCUAGAGUACCGGAGAGGAAGGUGGAAUUCCUGGUGUAGCGGUGAAAUGCGUAGAUAUCAGGAGGAACACCGGUGGCGAAGGCGGCCUUCUGGACGGCUACUGACGCUGAGACGCGAAAGCGUGGGGAGCAAACA